rnacentral:rRNA from 1 species
GAGAGCUUGCUCUUGGGUGACGAGUGGCGGACGGGUGAGUAAUGUCUGGGGAUCUGCCCGAUAGAGGGGGAUAACCACUGGAAACGGUGGCUAAUACCGCAUAACGUCGCAAGACCAAAGAGGGGGACCUUCGGGCCUCUCACUAUCGGAUGAACCCAGAUGGGAUUAGCUAGUAGGCGGGGUAAUGGCCCACCUAGGCGACGAUCCCUAGCUGGUCUGAGAGGAUGACCAGCCACACUGGAACUGAGACACGGUCCAGACUCCUACGGGAGGCAGCAGUGGGGAAUAUUGCACAAUGGGCGCAAGCCUGAUGCAGCCAUGCCGCGUGUAUGAAGAAGGCCUUCGGGUUGUAAAGUACUUUCAGCGGGGAGGAAGGCGAUGCGGUUAAUAACCGCGUCGAUUGACGUUACCCGCAGAAGAAGCACCGGCUAACUCCGUGCCAGCAGCCGCGGUAAUACGGAGGGUGCAAGCGUUAAUCG